AAUAACGCAACAGGAAGCCCGCCAGUUUGACUUUAGUGGCCAUUUUGGUCAUAUUCGAUAUUUUUUCUUUUAAGUACUCCUCCUACAGCUUUCAUCAAAUCAACUUACAAUUUAGACGAUCGUCAUCACAACAAAAUGGAGAUCUAAAGUUAUUGAAGGAUUAAGUUUUAGCAAAACCGUCUGACCGUGGUGUGGCCUCAAAGUUUGAUUAAACGCCAUCAAAACACGGGCUCCUGUAUCUUGGACAUAUUUUGUCCAAUCGAGUCCAAACUAUACACAUAAGACCAGAGUCGCGACCUGAAGACAUCGGUACAGAAAUCGUGACUUAAAAUCACAGCGUCCCCUGGUGGCAACAGGAAAUGUUUUUUUUUUAUACGUCUUACACUUUGAUUUACUUGUCGUAGGGCCUUCAUCAGGUCAACUUAAAAAUUACAUGAGUCUCCUCAAGACAACAUGAAGAUGUAAAGUUAUCAAAAAAACAACUUUUCGCCACACCGUCUGACCGUGGCGUGCCCUUAAAGUUUGAUGAAUAACAUUAAAACACGGCAUUCAUUUUAACGGAGUUACCAUGAACGCAUCAUUAGACCGCAUUGUUUUGGUCAACUCACACCUGGAGCUAUUUUUAUUCAGCCACUUUGCGAAACCAUUUCAAACUGUGUGAAAUGGGUCUCAAGAUAUUGAUAGUGUAGGCAUAAGAUUGCUGUGACUUUUCAUCAUGAUGAUUAACUGCUUGGCAGCUGAGGUCAUCAUCUCGACAUGAAAAACGAAACUCAAUUGAACACAGCUGCAAGUGAACGCAUCAUAAGACUUUGAAAAAAGUUACAGCGUGACAAGCUGCGGAGCUGUGGGUCACGGGGAACCGGAGGACGGUUGGCGAAUCUGGAUGAGAGGACGGCGUCGGAGUUACUGUGGACGUUGUUCGCUCAGCAGGUUAGAGUGUCUCCACGCUCUUUUCCCCUCUCCCCUCGUGUUUCUUCCUGUGUGAACUCUGCCGCUGCCUUUCUCAACAUCAGCACUGGCUAUUAGCUAGCUCCUGCUAGCUCCAACAAAGCAUCUCUCAACUGCUACGGACGGACGAGCCUGAAGGACACAGCUGUGAUGACCAAUUGACCAUGUUUUGUCUCUUAUGGCAAAGCAGAAAUAUUAAACACUGGGUUCUUAUCUAAAGUGUAUCAAAUCAGAAAGCAAAAGAUACACAUUGUUGUUAUAAGUUUUUAUUAUUUUAACCAACCAUAAUGAAGAUAGAAAUGAAUUCUUAUCCAUGCCACUUAGCAAUGACUGCCACCACCAAACAGUUGCAGGCCAUCUUUAUUUAAGGGAGGAAUUUAGAAGUGUUGUGUAGCUUCUGAUGAUGAUGCAGUCGUCCACGUGUUGACCACCAUGUUGCUGCUGACGACGUCAGGUGCUGCAGUUCCUCAUCUAUGAAGAGAAGAAACGCACUGUUAAAGAAUGUUUUGAGUUGUGUAUGAAGCACAACAGAUUUCAGAUAGAACCGUUGUACUGUGGUCUGGGUUUGUAUCCUAAUGGUUAAAUGCACAUAUUUUUAUCUAAGUCGCUUUUGAUAAAAGUACUGAAAGAAAUACAACAUUGUAAAAAUAGAUAAAAUGUCUUUCUACCUCAUCUGUAAUAUUCAAGGUGAUAAUCUCCCACAGAGCUAUUGAUAACAGUCCACAUCAAGUCUCUCCACUUCUCUCAGUGUGAAAACAUAAUUAUAUAAUUAAUUUGAGAACUGUUUACAACACUGAUGUGUGGAGAUUAAAAUCAUAUCUAAACUGUCUAAUUCACUGUAAAACUCCAUGACAUUCGCAGGCCAUCUGUAGUUAAGGGAGCAACGUAUGGAGUGAUGUGUAGAGGGCAGAAACUUGGACUAUGGGCAGAGAAGGUCUCUGGUUCGUCUCCGGUUCGACUCCACGGAGAGACAACAAAAGACAAACCUGGAUUGAUCUGUCCAAAAAUCCAAGAGUCUCCCUACCCUCUCUAGUGCCCCUGAGCAAGGCACCUCACUCCCCCAACAUCUGCUCCGUGAGCGCCGUACAUGGUCGCUCACUGCUCUGUGUGUCCUGCACCAGAUGGGUAAAAAGCAGAGAUUAAAUUUCCCUACCUGCAUGAGUGUGCCUUUGCAUGUCUGUGCAUGUGUUUGGGACGAAUAAAUGGAUCUUAAUCUUAAUCUUUUAAUCUUAAUCAGUUGUCUUCCAGUUGACCAGCAUGAAGCUCCAAAUCUCCACCAUGUUGCUGCUGAGGACAUCAGGAGCUGCAUUAAUGAGGAGCAGAAGCGCACUGUUAUGAAUGUUUUGUGUUGUGUAUGAAGCACCACAUAUUUCAGAUAGAACCGAUGUACUGGGGUCUGGGUUUGUAUACUAAUGGUUAAAUGCACAUACUUUAAAUCGCUUUUGAUAAAACGUGAGAAAGAAAUACAACAUUGUACACAUAGAUAAAAUGUCUUUCUACCUCAUCUGUAAUAUUCAAGGUGAUGAUCUCCCACAGAGCUGUUGAUAACAGUCCACAUCAAGUCUCUCCACUUCCCUCAGUGUGAAAACAUAAUUAUAUAAUUAACUGGAGAAGUGUUUACAAAACUGAUGUGUGGACAUUAUAAUCUUAUCUAUACUGUCUAAUUGACUCUACAACUCCAUGACAGACUAAAUUAACGAUGUGAAAAUAGUAAUGGUGGAUAUAUCAGCCUGUAUCAGAAUAAUGGUGAAACAUAGUUAUUAUCACAUGCAACUUACACAUGUAGCGUAUUGAUAUUAACUUAUUAAAAUAAAACAAAGUCACAGCCAAA